CACCUGCAGGAGCGACGCUCGUUUGCAGCGCCUCCUUCUCCCUCGCCGCCGCCGUCGGGCACGAACUCACUCAUCAUUAGUUUUAGUGUGAGGCCGCCGCGCGGCGCGUGUGUGUGGCGGCGGAGACGGGAAUUCUCGCCCGCCAACUCCGGCCGUCCCUCCUCGCCGUGGCCGAUGACCGCACAACCGGAGGCCGCGGCCACUCGGAAAACGGCGGCGAUGAGGAGGCCCGGCCCUUGGCGCAGACCCGUUCCUCCGACCGGCGGCCGCGUCGGACCUCCGCCUCGUGGGGCCAGCCCUCCCGUCCGUCCGCGCCGCGGCGCCACCGGCAUGGAGGCUCUGCUCGGGCAGCCGCGGCGGCGUCGUCGGCGGCGGAUGCGGCGGUAGGGGGCUCCGGUGACCGCGCGGCGGAGGCUGGGCGUUGCUUCCGGUCGCUGGUUCCGGCGACAGCCAAGCCGUAGAUCUGAGCCGCCCCGUCGUGGAUUCGUCCACUUCGUUUCUGCCAUGUUCCGAUUUGGUACCCCUACUCCCUUCUCUCUCGCUCGCUCGGUCGGUCGAUGAUGUCUGUACGUGUGUGCUUGUGCGAGCUCUGACCAAACCGAGGGUUUGGCUGGUCGCCGGAUCCAGAUCCCACCUCCUAGGGGGCCGCCUCCGACUAGCAAGUUUGGCGCUGGGAAUCCUAGGAGUAGAGUAGGGAUCGAGCCAGUGUUGUGUUGCGUAUCACAACCUUUGGGAAUCCUGGAGACUAGGUGGUGAUCGUUGGCUGUUUUGGCUGCGGAAUUUCGCGCCAUUACUCUGGGGAUCACCACCGUCUGCAUCAGUGGCGGAAGCUUAAACUAUGAAUUGAUCCACCGUCGGUCGUGCUGACCCGUGCCUCUGAGCAGUCAGUCCUCCGCCUCACGGGGCCAGCCCUCCUGUCCAUACUGCAAUGCGAGGCCACUGGCAUGGAGGCCGAGUUCAGGCAGCUGCUGUGGCGUUUGCGGUGGCAAGGGCUUUGGGGACCAUGGGGUAGAGGCUGCCUUCCAGUUGCUAAUGCUCCUGCUCCUCCUCCUCCUCCUCCUCCUCCUCCUCCUCUCCUCUCUCUCUCUCUCUCUCUCUCUCUCUCUCUCUCUCUCUCUCUCUCAAUAUCAGUGCAGCCUACGAAACGCGCCCUUAGUCUCUGAGCAUCUAUGAACCUUAAGGUUGCUGCUGCUGCUACUGUUGUUGUUGCGGCGAUUUACACAAAAAUAACCCUUUUGGAAGUUGGGAUCGGCGGUGAUGAGGCCUGGUCGUGCUGACCGGUGCCUCUGAGCAGUCAGACCUCCGCCUAACGGGGCCAGCCCUCCUGUCCAUGCUGCAAUGCCAGGCCACUGGCAUGGAGGCCGAGUUCAGGCAGCCGCUGUGGCGUUUGCGGCGGUGGCAGGGGCUUGGGGACCAUGGGGUGGAGUCUGGCUUCCAGUUGCUGCUGCUCCUCUCUCUCUCUCUCUCUCAAAUUCCUCUGAAUAUCAGUGCAGCUUACCAAACGCGCCCUUAGUCUCUGAGCAUCUAUGAUGCAUGACCUACUUGGUUGUGAAUCUGGACUGUAAGAGAUGCUGCUACCUACUCCCUCUGUUCCAUUAUAAGCUUCUUUACAUGAGCAAGCCCUAACCAGAUGGAGGGUCUGAUCGGUCGCUGGUUCUAGAUCCCUCCUCUAAGGGUGCCGCCUCUAACGAGCAGUUGGGAGCUGGGAACCCUCAGGGAGUAGAGAUGCCCCCGCGAUUCAUGGAAUCCAGUUGUGGUAAACUUCGUGGUGAAUCUGUGAUAGUUCUCUAUGAACCUUUGGAUCAAAGAGGACCUUAAGUUUGUUGUUGUUUCUUCUGCUGCUACUACUGUUGUUGUUGCUCCUCCUCCUCAUCUCUCUCUCUCUCUCUCUCUCUCUCUCUCUCUCUCCUAAAUGGCUCUUCUUAGCACUUAAUUACACUUGUGGUUGAGGGUGUUUACAACUGCAAUGAAACAGAGGGAUAUCUGAAGGCUCACAGGUUCCUGGUCCCAUCUAUAAGGGCGCCGCCUCCGCCAAGCAGUUGGAUGCUGGGAACCUUAUGGAGUAGGGGUGGAACCAGCGGUGCGAGAUGGACUGCUGGUUUAUUGGCCUUACAAGAUCUUGGGAGAGCUGAAAGUGCCUUUUUUGCCUUUGAGCAUUUUAGGUGGUUAGCGUAUGUCCAAAUGACACUUCACUCUAAUAAUCAAGAUACAAAAUUCUUAUGAGGGGCAGUGAUGAUUGACCAUUGCUGAUAUAAGCACACCCUUGAUCAAUUGAGGUGUGUGUGGGUAUCAAAUUAGAUCCUCCCUCUUCUCCCGGAGCUGUUUUGAUCAUGUGCUUAUUUUGGUGGCUCUGUCCUUGGAUGGUCAUUCUUGUCAGUGAUAACCAGGGCAGAUUCACUAAAGUAGAGACCAGAUUGAUCUGGUGAUGGGAGAUGAUAGGGGUAGGGUUGCAUGAUCGAUGAAAGGCGAAUCUGAGCCCAACUCAAAUGCAGUCAUACUGGUUCCAAGCAAGAUGUGCUACAAUCAAUAUACUCUUAUAUUGGUAACAUCUUAUACUAUGUUAUGGAGGGAGUAUGUUGUUUUGGCUCUGUAUACAUGUUCAUGGCUUCUUUGAUUCACAGGGUUUUAAAAAUACAUGGAGAUUGGAUUACAUUGUCAUGCAUCUUUUUAUUAUGGUUGCCAAGCUUGAGGGCGAUGAUGAUUGACUUUGGCUGAAAUAAGCGUGCCUUUGAGCAAUCAAGGCACCUGUGGGUAUCAAGUUACAUCCUCCCUCGCAUCUCUGAUCCUUUUUGAUGCUGUGAACUGCUGGUUCUGUCCUUGGACGGUCAUUCUAGAUUUCUAGUUGAGUGAUAACCAGGGCAGCUCCAAAGUUAAAACAGGUUCAUCUGGUGAUAAGAGAUGAUGGGGCUAGGGUUAUAUGAUCGAGCAAAGGCGAAUCUGAGCCCACUCAAAUGCAAUUUUACUGGUCUGUAAGCAUGAUGUGCUACACAGUUUCCUUAAACAUUCGUGUUUGGAGGUUUUACUUAUUUUAGCAUCUCCAAGCAAAAAAUAACAGAUUCAUGUUAAUUUAAUUUCCAUACUAUGAAGUCCUAGUCUCAGCAAGUUACCAGUACAUGCUGCAAAGGUUGGUUCUACCCGAUUGUUCAUGUAAACAGUGACCUCCUGAUAUAAACUGUUGCGUUUUGCUGCCUGUAACCAAUAAUCAUUUUUAAUGAGACUGGGCUGAUAUAAACAAUUGAACUGUCAUUCCAUUAUUUCCUUUUGUUAGUUUUGAAGCUUUCCCAUUUGCUAUGGUUGUAGGUGUAUGGAUCUUGUCUUGUAUGAUUUCUGUCUGCAGAAUUGUACUUUCAUCUUACUAUUUUUUUUUGCAUCAUGCUAAAAUAUUGAUGAAACUAAAAUGCCUGGAACAUAGUUCUGAAACCCCAAACUUUAUUUCUGUUGGUCUAGCUGAGUUGUCGCAAGCUGUACCUUAUUGUUUUAGUUCUCUUGUGUUAGCCACUUCUGUUUGUGCAUCAACCAAACAUAAAGUUGAUGUAGCAGUAAAUUCAGUUCGAACUCUGUUAAAAAUAUCGACUGGAACUCCAUUACUCGCUGCAGGUGCGUGCCUGCGUGUGUGUUUGUGCGAACUCUGAUGAGACAGAGGGUUUGACUGGUGCGCGAUGUGCUACAACCAAUGUAAUAGCAUCUUAUUUAUGGUACGGAGGUAGUAUGUUGUUUUGGUUCUGUAUCUGUGUUCAUGGCUUCUUUGAGAAUACGUUUUAAAAGUACCAUGGAGACUGGACUACACUGUCAUGCAUCCUUUUAUUAUGGUAGUCAAGCUUUAGGGUGAUGAUGAUUGACUUUGGCUGAAAUAAGCGUGCCUUUGAGCAAUCAAGGAACCUGUGGGUAUCAAGUUGGAUCCUCCAUCUUGUCUCUAUGAUCCUUUUUGAUUCCGUGAACUGCUGGUUCUGUCCAUAGAUGGUCAUUCAUGUUGAGUGAUAACCAGGGCAGGCUCCAGAGUAAAAACGGGUUCAUCUGGUGAUAAGAUAUGAUGAGGUUAGGGUUAUAUGAUCAAGCGAAGGCGAAUCUGAGCCCACUCAAAUGCAAUUUUACUGUUCUACAAGAAUAUUUGUGCUCCAAUGUUGCUAGCUGUUUAGCUGUCUGGUUUUCUUCUCUUUCAUUCAUUGCAUAAAUUGUGGUAUUAUGCUCUCUUUCGUUUGUUGUUGCAUCAUUAAGGUCUUUGAUUCAUUAAUUCUAUGAUAUGUUAAUUUGGUCCCACCUUUUUAAUUUUUGCUAUCCAAAUUGUGCAAUAUAAUUUGCAACACUUACCCUUUUUCAGUGUUUGCCUCUUCUGUGAUUCCAUCUUGCAACAGCUUUGGCCCCAGCACAGUAUUCUUUGUGGUUGCAACACAUCUGCAGAUUAAUGUUCCAGUUCUGGCUGGUUCAGUUUGGGUAUGCUCAUUUGUUGGGGAACUUGAUGAGGUGAUGCAAGUAAGAGUAGAUUGCAUGGGACAAUGCAGCUCCAUUCCUGAACCUGAAUAUUUGGCUGAAUUCUUGAGUUACUGAAACAAGUCGAGAAUACUGAAGGAAUAUUAUGGAAGUCAUUGCGUAUUGACCUGCUUGUAAACUGUGCAUAAAUGGCACCAUAAUAAAAUUGUUGUGGUUUAUUGUA